rnacentral:rRNA from 1 species
GGUAGCCGGCCUGAGAGGGUGACCGGCCACACUGGGACUGANACACGGCCCAGACUCCUNCGGGAGGNAGCAGUGGGGAAUAUUGCACAAUGGGCGCAAGCCUGAUGCAGCAACGCCGCGUGAGGGAUGACGGCCUUCGGGUUGUAAACCUCUUUUAGUAGGGAAGAAGCGAAAGUGACGGUACCUGCAGAAAAAGCACCGGCUAACUACGUGCCAGCAGCCGCGGUAAUACGUAGGGUGCAAGCGUUGUCCGGAAUUAUUGGGCGUAAAGAGCUCGUAGGCGGCUUGUCGCGUCUGCUGUGAAAUCCCGGAGCUCAACUCCGGGCCUGCAGUGGGUACGGGCAARCUAGAGUGCGGUAGGGGA